CCUACGGGUGGCAGCAGUGAGGAAUAUUGGACAAUGGACGCAAGCCUGAACCAGCCAUGCCGCGUGCAGGAAGACGGCUCUAUGAGUUGUAAACUGUUUUUGUAGGAGGGUAAACGCAGAUACGCGUAUCUGUAUGAAAGUAUCGUACGCAUAAGGAACGGCUAAAUACGGGCCAGCAGCAGCGGUAAUACGGAGGUUCCAAGCGUUAUGCGGAUUUAUUGGGGUGAAAGGGUGCGUAGGUGGUAGGGUAAGUUAGGGGUGAAAUCCCGGGGCUCAACUUCGGAAUUGCCUUUGAUACUGUUCGGCUAGAGAGUAGUAGCGGUAGGCGGAAUGCAUGGUGUAGCGGUGAAAUGCGUAGAGAUCAGGCGGAACACCGAUGGCGAAGGCAGCUUAC
rnacentral:rRNA from 1 species